GAGCUCACUUUGGCAGCAUGUAUACUAAAACUGGAAUACUGGGAAGAUUAGCAUGGCCCCUGUGCAAGGAUGACCCACAAAUUCGUAAAGAGUUUCAUAACAAA